CUCAGGUCCCUUCAGUUUGAAGGUUUUAUUAGUCUGCAUAGUUAACAGAGAUACAUACAUAUUGAUAUGACAUGAUCAAGUCAGCUAGACAUCACAUCAAAUUUUGUUUACAUGGCUAGCAUACAUUGAAUAGCUUCAAAAAAAUCAAGGCUGUAAUUUUUCUAAAAGUAACUUUGCUAUGAUCAUGAUGAGACUCCAUACACCAAAAUGUAAAUCUAAAGACCCUUGCGGUCAUCCACGAGAAACUGAAGAACAGUGAUCCAAAUUAGAAUGUGAUUGAAAAUCUUUUGUGGAUCAAACAAUGCACAGUGUCAUUUCAACAAAUACUUGUAAACUCUGGACAGAGGUCAACCAAGAUUUAGGUCACUUGGGUUGAGGAGUGAAUGGGAUGCCCAGAUAAGAACCCCUGCUUAUGUCAAGUGUUCUUCUCAGAGUUCCUUCCAUCACUGUG
rnacentral:lncRNA from 1 species